rnacentral:rRNA from 1 species
GACGAACGCUGGCGGCGUGCUUAACACAUGCAAGUCGAACGAAGAGCGAUGGAAGCUUGCUUCUAUCAAUCUUAGUGGCGAACGGGUGAGUAACGCGUAAUCAACCUGCCCUUCAGAGGGGGACAACAGUUGGAAACGACUGCUAAUACCGCAUACGAUCCGACCUCGGCAUCGAGGAUGGAUGAAAGGUGGCCUCUAUUUAUAAGCUAUCACUGAAGGAGGGGAUUGCGUCUGAUUAGCUAGUUGGAGGGGUAACGGCCCACCAAGGCAAUGAUCAGUAGCCGGUCUGAGAGGAUGGACGGCCACAUUGGGACUGAGACACGGCCCAGACUCCUACGGGAGGCAGCAGUGGGGUAUCUUCCGCAAUGGACGAAAGUCUGACGGAGCAACGCCGAGUGAGUGAUGACGGCCUUCGGGUUGUAAAGAUCGGUUAAUCGUGACGAAAGGUCUUCUUGCGAAUAGUUAGAAGAAUUGACGGUACCGGAAUAGAAAGCCACGGCUAACUACGUG